UACGUAGGGUGCAAGCGUUAAUCGGAAUUACUGGGCGUAAAGCGUGCGCAGGCGGCUUUGCAAGACAGAUGUGAAAUCCCCGGGCUCAACCUGGGAACUGCAUUUGUGACUGCAUGGCUGGAGUGCGGCAGAGGGGGAUGGAAUUCCGCGUGUAGCAGUGAAAUGCGUAGAUAUGCGGAGGAACACCGAUGGCGAAAGCGAUCGACUGGACCUUUUCUGACGCUGAGGCGCGAAAGCCAGGGGAGCAAACGGG
rnacentral:rRNA from 1 species